rnacentral:rRNA from 1 species
AGCGCAGGUGGUUGUAUAAGUCUGAAGUAAAAGGCAGUGGCUCAACCAUUGUGUGCUUUGGAAACUGUACAACUUGAGUGCAGAAGGGGAGAGUGGAAUUCCAUGUGUAGCGGUGAAAUGCGUAGAUAUAUGGAGGAACACCGGUGGCGAAAGCGGCUCUCUGGUCUGUAACUGACACUGAGGCACGAAAGCGUGGGGGAGCAAACA